GACGAACCGUGCGAACGUUAUUCGGAAUCACUGGGCUUAAAGCGCGUGUAGGCGGGAGGGCACGUCCGUUGCUGAAAUCCCCCGGCUCAACCGGGGAACGGGCGCGGAUACGACCUUCCUGGAGGGGCGUAGGGGACCUGGAACUUCCGGUGGAGCGGUGAAAUGCGUUGAGAUCGGAAGGAACGCCCGUGGCGAAAGCGAGGUCCUGGACGCCUACUGACGCUGAGACGCGAAAGCCAGGGGAGCGAACGGG
rnacentral:rRNA from 1 species